AUAAUAUGACUCUGAUGAUGAAACCUCUUGCCACAAACGCGACACACAUAUGGACGUUCAUUUGUGUGCGUUCUACUUUAACGAUAUGUGAAUAUCCUGUGCCAAUUUACGCAUCUGUGACCCAAACUGUUUUGCGCCGACUACAUAACUGCGAUGCAAAUCCUUCAUUGUGGCCAACGGUGCUGUAGACUUUCGGACAAAUCUCACAGACGAACUUUUGCGGACCGUCCGAGCUGUGAUUGUUUGUGAUAUGCUUAUUCAAAGUAGAUUUCCAAGCAAAGGACACCCCGCAAUCUUUACAAUGAAAUUUUUGCUGAUCGGCGUUGCUGAAAUUUUCUAGAUUUUCCUCAUUGUGCAGCAAGCCCUCCUGAUUCUGCAUAGCGUCGGGAGUACAUACUUCGUUAGC